GCAUCUGUAGCUCAGUGGUAGAGCAUCUGAGCGUAAAGCAGAAGGUCUCAAGCUCAAAUCUCGACGGAGACC
rnacentral:tRNA from 1 species